rnacentral:rRNA from 1 species
CCUACGGGAGGCAGCAGUGAGGAAUAUUGGUCAAUGGGCGGGAGCCUGAACCAGCCAAGCCGCGUGAGGGAAGAAGGUACAGCGUAUCGUAAACCUCUUUUGUCAGGGAACAAACGCGGGUACUCGUCCCCGGCUGAGGGUACCUGACGAAUAAGCAUCGGCUAACUCCGUGCCAGCAGCCGCGGUAAUACGGAGGAUUCGAGCGUUAUCCGGAUUUAUUGGGUUUAAAGGGUGCGCAGGCGGCCUGUUAAGUCAGCGGUAAAAGCCCGGGGCUCAACCCCGGCGAGCCGUUGAAACUGGCGGGCUGGAGAGGGGGAGAGGUAGGCGGAAUGCGCGGUGUAGCGGUGAAAUGCUUAGAGAUCGCACAGAACCCCGAUUGCGAAGGCAGCGUACCGAGUCAACCCUGACGCUGAGGCACGAAAGCGUGGGUAUCGAACAGGAUUAGAUACCCCUGUAGUC